AAGUGAUGCGGUAGAGGAGCGUUCUGUAAGCCUGUGAAGGUGAGUUGAGAAGCUUGCUGGAGGUAUCAGAAGUGCGAAUGCUGACAUGAGUAACGACAAUGGGUGUGAAAAACACCCACGCCGAAAGACCAAGGUUUCCUGCGCAACGUUAAUCGACGCAGGGUUAGUCGGUCCCUAAGGCGAGGCUGAAAAGCGUAGUCGAUGGAAAACAGGUUAAUAUUCCUGUACUUCUGGUUAUUGCGAUGGAGGGACGGAGAAGGCUAGGCCAGCUUGGCGUUGGUUGUCCAAGUUUAAGGUGGUAGGCUGAAAUCUUAGGUAAAUCCGGGGUUUCAAGGCCGAGAGCUGAUGACGAGUUACCCUCUGGGUGACGAAGUGGUUGAUGCCAUGCUUCCAAGAAAAGCUUCUAAGCUUCAGAUAACCAGGAACCGUACCCCAAACCGACACAGGUGGUUGGGUAGAGAAUACCAAGGCGCUUGAGAGAACUCGGGUGAAGGAACUAGGCAAAAUGGCACCGUAACUUCGGGAGAAGGUGCGCCGGUGAGGGUGAAGCACUUGCUGCGUAAGCCCACGCCGGUCGAAGAUACCAGGCCGCUGCGACUGUUUAUUAAAAACACAGCACUCUGCAAACACGAAAGUGGACGUAUAGGGUGUGACGCCUGCCCGGUGCCGGAAGGUUAAUUGAUGGGGUUAGCUAACGCGAAGCUCUUGAUCGAAGCCCCGGUAAACGGCGGCCGUAACUAUAACGGUCCUAAGGUAGCGAAAUUCCUUGUCGGGUAAGUUCCGACCUGCACGAAUGGCGUAACGAUGGCGGCGCUGUCUCCACCCGAGACUCAGUGAAAUUGAAAUCGCUGUGAAGAUGCAGUGUAUCCGCGGCUAGACGGAAAGACCCCGUGAACCUUUACUAUAGCUUUGCACUGGACUUUGAAUUUGCUUGUGUAGGAUAGGUGGGAGGCUUUGAAGCGUGGACGCCAGUCUGCGUGGAGCCAUCCUUGAAAUACCACCCUGGCAACUUUGAGGUUCUAACUCAGGUCCGUUAUCCGGAUCGAGGACAGUGUAUGGUGGGUAGUUUGACUGGGGCGGUCUCCUCCUAAAGAGUAACGGAGGAGUACGAAGGUGCGCUCAGACCGGUCGGAAAUCGGUCGUAGAGUAUAAAGGCAAAAGCGCGCUUGACUGCGAGACAGACACGUCGAGCAGGUACGAAAGUAGGUCUUAGUGAUCCGGUGGUUCUGUAUGGAAGGGCCAUCGCUCAACGGAUAAAAGGUACUCCGGGGAUAACAGGCUGAUACCGCCCAAGAGUUCAUAUCGACGGCGGUGUUUGGCACCUCGAUGUCGGCUCAUCACAUCCUGGGGCUGAAGCCGGUCCCAAGGGUAUGGCUGUUCGCCAUUUAAAGUGGUACGCGAGCUGGGUUUAGAACGUCGUGAGACAGUUCGGUCCCUAUCUGCCGUGGACGUUUGAGAUUUGAGAGGGGCUGCUCCUAGUACGAGAGGACCGGAGUGGACGAACCUCUGGUGUUCCGGUUGUCACGCCAGUGGCAUUGCCGGGUAGCUAUGUUCGGAAAAGAUAACCGCUGAAAGCAUCUAAGCGGGAAACUUGCCUCAAGAUGAGAUCUCACUGGAGCCUUGAGCUCCCUGAAGGGCCGUCGAAGACUACGACGUUGAUAGGCAGGGUGUGUAAGCGCUGUGAGGCGUUGAGCUAACCUGUACUAAUUGCCCGUGAGGCUUGACCAUA
rnacentral:rRNA from 1 species